UAAAACCAAAAUCCUGCAAUGGUGUUUGGCCAUUGUGCACUGCACAACAGAUCUGCUAUCAUGUUCUUGGCCUUGUUCAUGGCAUAUGGACACCCGUUCCUCAAGCUGUGGAAGAUUACAUUGCAACUCCAAAACCUAAUGGCUACCAAAGCCUACACACAACAGU